CAACUGCAAACGAUUUGUAUGGAGUUGGAAUAUCUCCCCUACGUUCACCGCUAGAGGAACUUUUCCAACUCCAUACAAAUUUGUGUUA
rnacentral:pre_miRNA from 1 species